rnacentral:rRNA from 1 species
ACGCUGGCGGCGUGCCUAAUACAUGCAAGUCGAACGAGUUCUCGUUGAUGAUCGGUGCUUGCACCGAGAUUCAACAUGGAACGAGUGGCGGACGGGUGAGUAACACGUGGGUAACCUGCCCUUAAGUGGGGGAUAACAUUUGGAAACAGAUGCUAAUACCGCAUAGAUCCAAGAACCGCAUGGUUCUUGGCUGAAAGAUGGCGUAAGCUAUCGCUUUUGGAUGGACCCGCGGCGUAUUAGCUAGUUGGUGAGGUAAUGGCUCACCAAGGCGAUGAUACGUAGCCGAACUGAGAGGUUGAUCGGCCACAUUGGGACUGAGACACGGCCCAAACUCCUACGGGAGGCAGCAGUAGGGAAUCUUCCACAAUGGACGCAAGUCUGAUGGAGCAACGCCGCGUGAGUGAAGAAGGCUUUCGGGUCGUAAAACUCUGUUGUUGGAGAAGAAUGGUCGGCAGAGUAACUGUUGUCGGCGUGACGGUAUCCAACCAGAAAGCCACGGCUAACUACGUGCCAGCAGCCGCGGUAAUACGUAGGUGGCAAGCGUUAUCCGGGAUUUAUUGGGCGUAAAGCGAGCGCAGGCGGUUUUUUAAGUCUGAUGUGAAAGCCCUCGGCUUAACCGAGGAAGCGCAUCGGAAACUGGGAAACUUGAGUGCAGAAGAGGACAGUGGAACUCCAUGUGUAGCGGUGAAAUGCGUAGAUAUAUGGAAGAACACCAGUGGCGAAGGCGGCUGUCUGGUCUGUAACUGACGCUGAGGCUCGAAAGCAUGGGUAGCGAACAGGAUUAGAUACCCUGGUAGUCCAUGCCGUAAACGAUGAAUGCUAGGUGUUGGAGGGUUUCCGCCCUUCAGUGCCGCAGCUAACGCAUUAAGCAUUCCGCCUGGGGAGUACGACCGCAAGGUUGAAACUCAAAGGAAUUGACGGGGGCCCGCACAAGCGGUGGAGCAUGUGGUUUAAUUCGAAGCAACGCGAAGAACCUUACCAGGUCUUGACAUCUUUUGAUCACCUGAGAGAUCAGGUUUCCCCUUCGGGGGCAAAAUGACAGGUGGUGCAUGGUUGUCGUCAGCUCGUGUCGUGAGAUGUUGGGUUAAGUCCCGCAACGAGCGCAACCCUUAUGACUAGUUGCCAGCAUUUAGUUGGGCACUCUAGUAAGACUGCCGGUGACAAACCGGAGGAAGGUGGGGAUGACGUCAAAUCAUCAUGCCCCUUAUGACCUGGGCUACACACGUGCUACAAUGGAUGGUACAACGAGUUGCGAGACCGCGAGGUCAAGCUAAUCUCUUAAAGCCAUUCUCAGUUCGGACUGUAGGCUGCAACUCGCCUACACGAAGUCGGAAUCGCUAGUAAUCGCGGAUCAGCACGCCGCGGUGAAUACGUUCCCGGGCCUUGUACACACCGCCCGUCACACCAUGAGAGUUUGUAACACCCGAAGCCGGUGGCGUAACCCUUUUAGGGAGCGAGCCGUCUAAGGUGGGACAAAUGAUUAGGG